CUUCACACACACGGUCCGUACACGUACGCGCGAUCGUCGUCGUCUGGUCGUCUCGUCCACGCGUAAUAGGAAAAAAACAACAUAUUAUUAUUGCCGUCACGUCUCGUCGCCGCCGUUUGACAUUUUCGGCGGAUAAAACGAACGCACUCGCCGCGGGUUUUUCGCGUCGUAUACGCAAUAUUCUACUCGCAAAACGUUCGCACGUUCGUCCAGUUCCGUCUCCGUCGUCGUCGCGAACCGCGGACCCGUGCGCACAGUGUUGAUCGGGCCGAAGGAGCGACGCGAAUGCUUUAAGUCGCGCGGUUCAAUUUAUUAAACCCGGGUGUCCGCUUAUUUUUUUAAAUUGCCCUUAAACGAAGUUUAUUUAAUAUAACUACGUCGUUUGGUCCUCGUGUGCGGCGUGUCCCAAUUCAGCCCAUCAUCGUUCCAAUUGUAGACAAUCAACAGAAAUUAACGGCGACUAUCGCAACCCCC